AUACCUUUCUCGGCCUUUUGGCUAAGAUCAAGUGUAGUAUCUGUUCUUAUCAGUUUAAUAUCUGAUAUGUGGGUCAUAGGCCCACACGAUAUUAAAUUAAUUUUUUAAGGGGGAGGGUCUACUAAUGUAGCUUGCUACAUGGGCCUUCAUGUGUCGCCCAUGCCUUACACUGCUGCAAGGGUCUGGCACACCCCAC